UGGGGAAUCAAGGAACUCAAACCGACAGGGAUGUAGACCAAUUAAGAGAACAAAGACGACUUCUACAAAGACGCAUACACCCUACCUCCUACCCCUCCUUCAAACAUCCAGCAGCAGCUCCCCAGUUGUGCUGGUGCAGCUUGCAGACCUCCCCUGAACGCUCGGGAGGUAGAAACAGGCUGGGAGGAGGAAACACAGACAAGUCCAAGCAAACCCUAGAACCUGCCAUAACGCCACACCUAUCUAGAGAAGCUCUGGUGAUGGGCGGCAGUUUUCUGCAACGUUCACCUGUGUCCUCCUCCAGGGAUGCUGAUACAGUUGACCUUGGUGCCAGGAGGGUGUGUGGGAGGUGAACUUGAUACCUGACAGCAGUAGGAGGCACUGCAUCCCAGGGCACUGCCUCACUUAGACAGAAGCAGAGGAAGGUAUGACUGUGAGGUGCAAACAACGAUGAGGGCUCACGCAGGAGCAGGAGGUAUUAGAUGAGGAUUAAUUCACCAUUUCCUCAGCAAAGACUAAUUAGACAUGGAUCAGAAGAGCGUCACAUGGAUAUGCUCUGAAACAGACACCUAAUGCCUUUGCCUUGCCUCUCCCAAUGAAGCUGUAAGUGUGGUUUCCUCAAAGCUGUGACUCUUUCCAUUUUCCCUGCCAUGGGACUGUGCCCAGGUGGGACCAACCAUGACCCCUGAAAGUACUUGCAGUGGCUUCUGAAGCACCAUCUCCUCUCUGGAGAAGAGGUGCUGCUGCUUUGGGCAUGAUUCCUCCUGCCUACUGGCAGCAAGCAGUGGUUCAACACAAGUGCCUGGAGCAGAACUAGUGAAAAGCUUUGUAAGAGACUGCCAGGCAAAUUCAGGGUCAUGGUUAGGUUUAUAAUGUAGAUUUCUCCUGGC
ensembl:lncRNA